rnacentral:rRNA from 1 species
AACGCUAGCUACAGGCUUAACACAUGCAAGUCGAGGGGAAACGACAUUGAAAGCUUGCUUUUGAUGGGCGUCGACCGGCGCACGGGUGAGUAACGCGUAUCCAACCUGCCCACCACUUGGGGAUAACCUUGCGAAAGUAAGACUAAUACCCAAUGACGUCUCUAGAAGACAUCUGAAGGAGAUUAAAGAUUUAUCGGUGAUGGAUGGGGAUGCGUCUGAUUAGCUUGUUGGCGGGGUAACGGCCCACCAAGGCGACGAUCAGUAGGGGUUCUGAGAGGAAGGUCCCCCACAUUGGAACUGAGACACGGUCCAGACUCCUACGGGAGGCAGCAGUGAGGAAUAUUGGUCAAUGGUCGGAAGACUGAACCAGCCAAGUAGCGUGAAGGAUGAAGGUUCUAUGGAUUGUAAACUUCUUUUAUACGGGAAUAAAACACCUUACGUGUAGGGUCUUGUAUGUACCGUAUGAAUAAGCAUCGGCUAACUCCGUGCCAGCAGCCGCGGUAAUACGGAGGAUGCGAGCGUUAUCCGGAUUUAUUGGGUUUAAAGGGAGCGUAGACGGGAUGUUAAGUCAGUUGUGAAAGGCUGCGGCUCAACCGCAGCACUGCAGUUGAUACUGGCGUCCUUGAGUGCGGUUGAGGUAUGUGGAAUUCGUGGUGUAGCGGUGAAAUGCUUAGAUAUCACGAAGAACUCCGAUUG